rnacentral:rRNA from 1 species
GAUGAACGCUGGCGGCGUGCCUAAUACAUGCAAGUCGAGCGAACGGACGAGAAGCUUGCUUCUCUGAUGUUAGCGGCGGACGGGUGAGUAACACGUGGAUAACCUACCUAUAAGACUGGGAUAACUUCGGGACACCGGAGCUAAUACCGGAUGAUAUUUUGAACCGCAUGGUUCAAAAGUGAAAGACGGUCUUGCUGUCACUUAUAGAUGGAUCCGCGCUGCAUUAGCUAGUUGGUAAGGUAACGGCUUACCAAGGCAACGAUGCAUAGCCGACCUGAGAGGGUGAUCGGCAACACUGGAACUGAGCCACGGUCCAGACUCCUACGGGAGGCAGCAGUAGGGAAUCUUCCGCAAUGGGCGAAAGCCUGACGGAGCAACGCCGCGUGAGUGAUGAAGGUCUUCGGAUCGUAAAACUCUGUUAUUAGGGAAGAACAUAUGUGUAAGUAACUGUGCACAUCUUGACGGUACCUAAUCAGAAAGCCACGGCUAACUACGUG